rnacentral:rRNA from 1 species
GUGCCAGCCGCCGCGGUAAUACGUAGGGGGCAAGCGUUGUCCGGAUUUACUGGGCGUAAAGCGCGCGUAGGCGGAAGAUUAAGUCCGAUCUGAAAGCCCCCGGCUCAACCGGGGAGGGUGGUUGGAAACUGGUCUUCUUGAGGGCGAGAGAGGGGAGUGGAAUUCCUGGUGUAGCGGUGAAAUGCGUAGAUAUCAGGAGGAACACCCAUGGCGAAGGCAGCUCCCUGGCUCGACCCUGACGCUGAGGCGCGAAAGCGUGGGGAGCGAACGGGAUUAGAUACCCCUGUAGUCC